UACGUAGGGGGCAAGCGUUGUCCGGAAUCAUUGGGCGUAAAGAGCGUGUAGGCGGCCAGAAAAGUCCGCUGUGAAAACUCGAGGCUCAACUUCGAGCUGUCGGUGGAAACUUUCUGGCUAGAGUCCGGAAGAGGAGAAUGGAAUUCCUGGUGUAGCGGUGAAAUGCGCAGAUAUCAGGAAGAACACCCGUGGCUAAGGCGGCUCUCUAGUACGGUACUGACGCUGAGACGCGAAAGCGUGGGGAGCGAACAGG
rnacentral:rRNA from 1 species